rnacentral:misc_RNA from 1 species
AUCGUUGUGUAGCACAACGCUGUUUGUUUCCACGAGUCGCGUUACGAUCGUGGGAGAUUGAUGUUCGCGCAGUAGACACGUUUUUCAAAGGCAUACAGUGUUCGUGGGCAAAAUGUGUUCAGUGUGUGAUAUCGUGUACCUCGUAUCCCCUAAAAAUAAAUCAAAGACGGUGUCUCGUCUAACCAUGAUCGUGUUAUAAUUUACCUAGGAGAUCUAUGACCGCUGGAUUAUUAUUCGCAGCUAUGUUCAACUUCUACACGCGAUAAGCCCGCGUGGCACAAAUUGAUACCAAAACCAAAUGUUCCUUGUACACUUUUCAACUCGUGAUAGUAAUAGUUAAUUAACGACAAUACACGUGUACAUUUUAGAUGUUAGAAACUUCGAAAAUACUUCUAGGAGAACCUGUUACGACUUCGAAUCCAUGUUCCAAAGAUAGUGUACAAAGUGAUAAGUAAAAAUCAGGAUCAGAAGGAUGGCUCGUCACGGCAGCGAAAGGUCCUUGCAUUCGCCUCAAUCGAUGCAUCCCGACUCCUCGGGUCGCGUGAGCAGCCCGAACACAACUGCUAUCACGGAAUUGACACCUUUAGAAUCAGCAACAUGUACUGACAACAGUACGAUGAAGGUCAAUGUCAACAGCGUGGUUUGCACGACAGGAAGUGUCUCGGGUACCGUACCGUCUCCCUCGAUAUCCUCGACAUCCUCUUCCUGCGAUUCCCGUAUUCCACGUCCCUCGCCUACAGGUCUGCGUCGUUCGGUCAGUAUGCGCAUGCGCGGUGAACGAAUUUCACCUAACCAACCACCACCACUACCACCCAGUACCGCGGCGACCGCGGCCCUGAACAGGCACGGUUACUCUUGUCGUCGUUCUAAUCAUUUGCAACACCAUCAUCUGGACCAUCGUACCUUUCCAGUCAUCACGGAGAAUGGAACUGAAUCACCUCGACAACGAUCUCUUAGCCUUUCAUUGACCCCGGCGAGGCCGCGACCUGGAUACGCGGCCUCUGGAGGAUCAAGCACUGGAAUUGCCGACGACAGUGAUGCGGAUAGCGUAAAAAGUUAUGGAAGUGCCUGCAGCACCGCAAGCGCCUGUGAUCAUGCCACCUUCGCCCUCAAUGGUACCACAUGGUCAGGUAGAUCACGAAAGUAUGUUGUUCAUUGUUCGAAUCACACCGGUGACAAUGAACAAUACCUCACUCCUACGCAAAGGGCAGCUAGACAAGUUAGGAAAUUUCAGGCGUUACUAAAAGAAGCUAGAAAGGAGAUCGAAGAGAAGGAUCAGGAAAUCUUUCGGCUAACUAAAGAAGUGGUGGAGUUAAGAUUGUAUAAAGCUUCACUGAACAGUCCAGAUGAGAGGACGGACAGCAGCGAUGCUCUCACCGUACGAGAAAAUAAUCCUUUCUCGCCAGAAUCACCUAGCAAGGAUUUACCGGAUGAAGGUGCACUGCAAAAGGUUGCGAGUCCAGAUACACCCGAGAAACGCGUCCAUUCCGAUUUACCUUCCUCUCUGGCGGACUCGGGUCAUUUUGAGGAUGGUUCCGUCCACUCGAAGGAUUCUGUGUUUUUACCAGAAGCGCAACCGGAAACUAGCCAGGUUACUACAACGCCCGUCAAAGUUCCAGAAGACGACACGUCCGAAACGUUCAAAUCAGCCACAGAAACGCCGGAAAGAGACGAAGAGAGACGCAAACUGGUGAACCUUUAUGAAAGCAGAAUCGAGGAAAUGCAUCGCAGACAUGUUGAUGAACUGCAGGAACUGAAGCAAAAGCAUAAUGAUAAGGUGGAAAGUUUACUGAAUCAAUUGGCUGAAAUAAACACACGUUAUUGCGAAGUGAGACCUUCUGUUGAUACCGCAGAAGCUCGAGCGCGUGAACUGGAGGCGGAAUUAGAGGCUGUGAAAGCGGAACUCGCUGAACAAAAGACUUUGUUAAGUGAACAAGAAGAAAGAAACAAACAAAUGUACCUGAAAAUGUAUGCCAAAGGUCAGGAGGCUGCACGUAUAGAACAAGCUGAUCAGAUACUUGAGCAUGCUCAUCAAACACCACCAAAGGUUACCGUUGCAGAACUACUUCAACAAUUAACAGUUACACAAGCAGAAUUAGAAAAUAUCAAGGACACAAGCUACUCGCCUGAACCUCACAUUUCAGCCGAUCGUAGCCACAGUUUAUUAAGUGCUCAGGAGGCUGUUUCUCUCUGGGUCCUUGGCACACGUAAGAUAGCGAACAUAGGUAAAUCAUAGUGGCAAGAAUUGGCUUCACGUGCUCUCAUUUAUGAGUUACAUAUAUUAUGACAAGGUUUUUCUAAGAGAAUGUAUUAAUAUUAAACGCUUUGCCACAGUGACUGCAUGUCAAUUACUAAACACAAAUGUAGUUGGUUUGUUCUAUUAUGCAGUAUUAUUAGGUUCAAAAAGACUUCUAUGUGCGCUUGGAAGAAACAGCCUCUUAUUUAUUAUUCUUCAGUUAAUGCAAUGUAUCGACGCAUCGUAGAAGCAAGAAGUAAUCAAGGUGCCCUUGAUCCAGAGAUAACUUUACAGUUCCUAAAAUCAGCUAUCUAUU